GAUGGGGAGCGAAAUUUAGUAGCGAAGUAGCUGAUUUCACACUGUCAAGAAAAGUCUCUAUCGAGGUUAAAGGUACCCGUACCGCAAACCGACACAGGUGGGUGAGGAGAGUAUCCUAAGGCCAGCGAGAGAACUGUUGUUAAGGAACUCGGCAAAAUGACCCCGUAACUUAGGGAUAAGGGGUGCCACCAUCAGGUGGCCGCAGAGAAUAGGCCCAAGCGACUGUUUACCAAAAACAUAGGUUUCUGCUAAGUCGCAAGACGAUGUAUAGGAGCUGACGCCUGCCCGGUGCUGGAAGGUUAAGGGGAUCUGUUAGAG
rnacentral:rRNA from 1 species